UAGAGUUUGAUCAUGGCUCAGGAUAAACGCUGGCGGCGUGCCUUAAACAUGCAAGUCGAACGGUGUCCGCAAGGGCACAGUGGCAGACGGCUGAGUAACACGUAAGUAAUCCGUCCUCGAGUGGGGAAUAACUGCGAGAAACCGUAGCUAAUACCGCAUAGGCUCGUUAGCACACAAGUGUUAGAGAGUAAAGCCGAGAGGUGCUUGGGGGAGAGCUUGCGUCCGAUUAGCUAGUUGGUAGGGUAAAGGCCUACCAAGGCGACGAUCGGUAGCUGGUCUGAGAGGAUGAUCAGCCAGACUGGGACUGAGAUACGGCCCAGACUCCUACGGGAGGCAGCAGUUAGGAAUUUUGGGCAAUGGGCGAAAGCCUGACCCAGCAACGCCGCGUGGGUGAAGAUUUCUGUGGGAAGAUGAUGACGGUACCCAAGGAAUAAGUCACGGCAAACUACUUGCCAGCCGCCGCGGUAAUAC
rnacentral:rRNA from 1 species